rnacentral:rRNA from 1 species
GCUACAAAUCUAGCCCCCACAAAUUUAUGCCUCCCUCACCCAACCCCCUAAAAAUAAAACAUUUUCUUAUCAUAGUAAAGGCGAUUAAAAACUUAAUAAGAGCUAUAGAACCAGUACCGCAAGGGAAUAAUGAAAUAGUAAUGAAAUAAACCUAAAGCACCUAAAAGCAGAGAUUUACCCUCGUACCUUUUGCAUCAUGGUCUAGCUAGUCUAACCAAGCAAAACCAAUUAUAGUUUGAACCCCCGAAAUUAAGUGAGCUACUUCAAAACAGCCUUAAGGGCCAACCCGUCUCUGUUGCAAAAGAGUGGGAAGAUUUUCAAGUAGAGGUGAUAAACCUACCGAACUUAAAGAUAGCUGGUUAUUCAGGAAAAGAACUUUAAUUCUACCUUAAGCUCUAAUUACCCUCUAAUACCACAAUAAGCUUAAGAGUUAAUCAAACAGGGUUCAGCCUGUUUGAUUUAGGGCACAACCAAAAUCAUAGGGUAAUGUAAUAAAGUUAUGACUAAGUGGGCCUAAGAGCAGCCACCUUUCAGAAAGCGUUACAGCUUUACCAUACACAACCAAUAAUUCUAUUACCAUCACAAAACCCUUACCCCAUACUGAAUAAUUUUAUAAUAAUAUAAAAGAUAUUAUGCUAGAACAAGUAACAAGAAACAGAACUUCUCUUAAAUGUAAGUAUAACCCAAAAUGAACAAAUCCUUGGCCAUUACUGCUAUGACCUAAAAGUAUUAACCUCUGCUAGAAAACCUUACUUACCAAAGCACUAACCUUACACAAGAGCAUUACAAGAAAGAUUUAAAUAAGGGGAAGGAACUCGGCAAAUUUUAGCCUCGCCUGUUUACCAAAAACAUCGCCUCUUGACUAUAUAAGAGGUCCAGCCUGCCCAGUGACAAGUUUAACGGCCGCGGUACCCUAACCGUGCAAAGGUAGCAUAAUCACUUGUUCUUUAAAUAAGGACUAGUAUGAACGGCAUCACGAAGACUAUACUGUCUCCCCCCUAUAAUCAGUGAAACUGAUCUCCCCGUGAAGAAGCGGGAAUACACUUAUAAGACGAGAAGACCCCAUGGAGCUUAAAACUUAAGUUUCACCUGCCCCUUACUACAUCAUAAUAAUCCAGCAGGCAUGACUACUAGUUUUCGGUUGGGGUGACCACGGAGUAAAACCCAACCUCCACAAUGAACGGAACUAAACUCCUAACUUAAGAGCUACAACUCAAAAAAUUAAAAUACUAACAUACUUGACCCAAAUAUUGAUCAAUGAACCAAGUUACCCUGGGGAUAACAGCGCAAUCCAUUUUAAGAGCUCCUAUCGACAAAUGGGUUUACGACCUCGAUGUUGGAUCAGGGUGUCCUAGUGGUGCAGCCGCUACUAAAGGUUCGUUUGUUCAACGAUUAAAACCCU